CUCUCGCCCCGUCGCGUUUAUCGAGGAGACAGGUGAAAACUGAGGUUUAGAGAGGGUAAAUAACUUGCCCAAAAUCUGGAAAAGUUUGCCAACCCCUGGUCUUACUCCUCAUUAAGGUUUCCCUUCCUCUCCACCAUUCCCAAAUCUGAGUAUUCCAGAAGAGCUACUGUUUUUUUAAUGAUAUGGUAAAUUAAUUUCUAAAGGGAUUAAAAUGAAUACCUACCUGUUGUAAUGAAAAUAAAUGUAUAACAUAAAGCAAUCUGCAAAAUAGUAAGUAUACACUCAAAAUCUGUUAGCCAUUAUUACCAUUGUUAUUAUUUUUAUUUUCAGUCCAACCAACACUGAUACUGCUGAACUCCUUUUUUUUUAUGGAGUUUAUGGCACAUGUUUAAGUUAAUUAAUUAUGUAAGAUACAUAUAUAUAUGUACACAUGGUAAGGUGGAGCGGUUGUGAUAAUACCACAAGCUGCCUGAAGGGGCAGCCCACCCUAGAUCCUUUCCUAACUGAACAAGAUUCCAAAACACCAGUACCUCUGGUAAGUGGAAGGGCCCAGUCCAUCCCCCAGGCUGUGUCCUUGUGCGUCAGUCCUCUUGCUUCCCUCAGGCUCUACUUCUUUUUCCUACAAGCACAGAGAGCAUUGGGAUCAGUCAUGGAGCCCUGCCAGGGAUGAUGGGGAUUGAGAGCAGCCAAAUACCCUACAGGAGCCCAUGCAGCAGCCCACAGCUCUGCAGAGAGAAACUAAACUGGUGAUUACCAUGAGCUCCAGCCCCGGGUUCACUGUGCCAGUCUCCACUGUGGACAGAGCAAUGGACUGUCUUCCACUUGCUUUCUCCAUCUCCUGUUCUCCUCAACUGAAAAACAAAUUCAGGGCCAAGCCUGAAAGAUUGGUCAUUCUGUUCUGUGGGGAUGGGGAGAAUUUUUAGGACCAGUUACCCAUGGAAAACGCAAAACUAAAAGUCUUUGAAGGCUUAGUUGAUUUCUUUAAGAACUGAGAAUUGAGAAGAUUGGAUGUGUAAUUUUUAUAUAAUAAAUAAUGAAAAAUAAAAUCCUAUUUCCUCUUGUGAAUAGCUAAAGAAGAGGCAGUAAGAUAGGAGAAGAGAAAUGAAAGGCAGUGGAAUUGAAAUGAAUCAGUGGGCCGCCCAGGGCCCCAGGAUCUGGGCUAUAAAGGUUCCUACUUGGACCCUCAAAGAAAGAGUCACAGGACUGUUUUGCAGGCCUAAGACUUAUGCAGAGGUGGCGCCCGCCCGUAAUCCCAGCACUUCGGGAGGCCGAGACGGGCGGAUCGCUUGAGACCAGCCAGGAUAACAUGGCGAAACCACAUCUCUACAACAAAUACAAAAAUUAGCUGGGCGCGGUGGCACACGACUGUGGUUCCAGUUACUCGGCAGGCGGAGGUGGAAGGAUCCCUUGAGCCUCUGGAGGUGGAGGUUGCAGUGAGCUGUGAUUGCGCCACUGCACUCCAGCCUGGGCGACAGAGUGAGACCCUGUCAGAAAACAAAACAAAACAAAAGAAUUCUGUAAGAACUUCUAACAGGUACAUUCCUGUAAGCAUUACCCACCACUGGACUAGGCACUGGGUAGCCUGUAAAAUACAGUAAGAGCCGUCUCUGCACCCAGAAAAUUUACCAUCAUUUUGUGCUGGAAAGACAUGCCCUAGAAAACAAUAAACAGCACGACUGUACAUGAUUCCAUGCCAAAUGACUGCUAGGAAUUAUUUUAUUAAUCCAUUCAACAAAUACUUAUUGAGUAACCACUAUUAGCCAGCCACCGUUUUCCGUGUGAGGACAUAAAAAUGAGUGAGACAAGGUCUCUGCCAUCAAAAAACGAACAGAUCAGUGAGGAAAGACGGAUGUGUCAAGAAAGGCUUUGCAGGUCGAGCGCGGUGAAUCACGCUUGUAAUCCCAGCACACUGGGAGGCAGAGGCAGGCGGAUCAUUUGAGGUCAGGCGCUCGAGACCACCCUGGCCAACAUGGCGAAACUCCAUCUCUACUAAAAAUACAAAAAUUAUCCGGGCAUGGUGGUGCAGGCUUGUAAUCUCAGCUACUCAGGAGGCUGAGGCAGGAGAAUCAUUUGAACCCAGGAGGCAGAGGUUGCAGUGAGCCAUGAUCAUGCCACUGCACUCCAGCCUGGGUGAGCGAGACUCCAUCUCAAAAAAAAAAAAAAAAAAAAAAAAGAGGGAGAGAAAGACUUUACAGAGCUGGUAACACUUAUCCUGGCCUGGAAAGAAAGAAAGAAAGCUUCCUAUGACGCCCUCUGGAUAAAACUUA
rnacentral:lncRNA from 1 species